rnacentral:rRNA from 1 species
AGGGUUUGAUUAUGGCUCAGAUUGAACGCUGGCGGCGUGCUUAACACAUGCAAGUCGAACGCGAAAGGGACUUCGGUCCUGAGUAAAGUGGCGCACGGGUGAGUAACACGUGGAUAAUCUGCCCUUAUGAUCGGGAUAACAGUCGGAAACGGCUGCUAAUACCGGAUACGCUCAAAAUGAACUUUUUGAGGAAAGGUGACCUCUGCUUGCAUGUUACCGUAUAAGGAUGAGUCCGCGUCCCAUUAGCUUGUUGGUGGGGUAAAGGCCUACCAAGGCAACGAUGGGUAGCCGAUUUGAGAGGAUGAUCGGCCACACUGGGACUGAAACACGGCCCAG